GUAAGAGCAGCGCGUCGGAGGUUCCGCGCUUUCGGGUUGAGCAUGUUGCGACAGUGAACGUAGCCGGCAAAAUGCACGCGUUGUUUGGUGAACAGAGCCCGUAUGCGUACCGCGGAGGAGCCGCCGGUGGUUACUCAGCCGGAGUGACACCUUAUGCCUAUGAACAAUACCGCUAUGGAUAUGGAGCUCCCUACCUUCACCCCCAUCAACAACACGUUGGUGCACCUAAAGACAUGGUCAAGCCGCCUUACUCUUACAUAGCACUUAUAGCUAUGGCCAUACAAAACGCUCCUGAACGACGUAUAACUCUCAACGGUAUUUACCAAUUUAUUAUGGAAAGAUUUCCUUAUUACAGAGAAAACAAACAAGGCUGGCAAAACUCCAUAAGACACAAUCUAAGCCUCAAUGAGUGCUUUGUGAAAGUGGCAAGAGAUGAUAAAAAACCUGGUAAAGGCAGUUACUGGACUCUUGAUCCUGAUUCAUAUAAUAUGUUUGAUAAUGGCUCGUACUUACGCCGUCGGCGUCGAUUUAAAAAGAAAGAUGCGCUUAGAGAAAAGGAAGAAGCUUUAAAGAGACAACAACAGCUGCAACAAGCUCAGGAGGCACUCACUGCUCAGGAGGCACUGACUGCAUCCGACACACUAGGACAACAACGUGACGUUAAGCCUGAUGUCAAACCACGAAUCUUCGAAUGUCGACCGAAACGAGAACCCGGCGCAGACUGUGCAAGAUAUGACAAACCUGUCGAUGGUCUUGAUGACUUCAGUGAACCUCGACUUCCAGCUUCCGCAGUUUAUUGUUCACCUCAACCGUAUUCGUUGGUGGCCGAGGAAUUUCGAGCCGCUACAUCGGGGUGGUAUGCGGCGCCCGAACCUCCGGCGGAACAACUGCCUCCGGCGUUCCGCGACCUCUUUGAACCGCCAAGCUGCCAACUAGCCGGGUUCCGCAGUGGUUCACCCGUACCAGACGCGUACCGUGCGUCGCCACCGCCACAUCACCAUUAUCGCACACCGGCACCUUCAUACUAUCAUCACCAAGCCUGUGUUGCCGCAGGUCCCGCGCCAGCCCAUAAGUCCUACUGAGACCUAGCUCUCAGGAGGCCGGCAUCGCUCGGCGCCGAACGGAUUUAGCCGCACGCGUCAGUUCCAGAGCGGAUAAAUAUAGCGCAGUAGCCGGAGAUGCCGUGGAGGCAAGUGGCGGCGCGUCGAUAACCACUGUUUACAGAUCGGCGGCCGACCCUGCCGCCUCCCGCUCCGUUCACACCUAUAGGUAUGGCGGAACAAGAAGAUAGCGGGAGGCUGAGUGCAGGGGUGACGCGAAUAUUUAACGUGUCUGGAAGAGAUGGCGACAUAGUGUUGUAAGAACUUUAUUCCGCGUGGUGCACAUAUUGUAGCAAACGUCUCGUAUUUAUAAAGUUCAAGCUAUCAUCGUAUCUCCGCAAGAGAUAUUAUCGAAUGAUAGCACCCGAAGACUUAUUUUAGUAUGUAUAUUCGUUUACCUAUGAACUUAAUAUAAUUAAUAGAUAAGACGAAAUCCGAUAAUUCCGAAAUAACGUAGCGUUCAUUAUUGUCGUAGGUAAGUAGGCCAGGACAUAAAUAAGUUACAGUAUUACCCGUUGAAACAGUAUUAUGUACAUGCACACUGUACGUACCACAUGAUCUGUAAACAAAUAUUAUUAGAUAAAUGUAAAUAUUUAGUUAUUAAUACCUAGUAAUUGUAUGAGGUGUAGAUUCUCCCCUGUAAAAAAAAUAAUAGUUUUUCUGAAAACAUAUUUAGGGGAUGUGCUGUUAUUCUAGUCUGCUACUUUAGGCAAAUUUUUGUGUAAUAGAUAUAUAUACAAAAACAAGUGAAAAUAUAAAAGCGAAUACAAACUACCUACUAUGUACAUGGAUUUAGAUGGCAACGAACGAAAUAAUAACAUUAAGUAAUGUAUUGACUUAUACAAUCAACAAGAAUAUUAUCGUCACUGCAUUGUAUCUAUUAUAUUGUUAUUAAAUAUGUUUAAAAACGACUUUAUGCAUUCUGAGUGAAUAGUUUUCCUACCCUGAAUAGAUUGUUGCAGUCUACUUAUUACAUUAAAUAUAUAAAUAAAGUACAACAAGCAGACAUCAAACUUAACAAUGAACUUAGUAUAUUGAGUAAAUUAUAUAUAUACGUAUGUAUGUUAAUCUGUACAAUUAAGGUUAGCAAUUAGUAGAAUUGUAUAUUAAGACACGAAGAAAUAUAAACAGCCAGUCUCUUAAAUAUAAUGUCCAAUGCAAAGAAAUACUAUAUAGCACUUCAAAUUAUAGUACCUAUCAAGUUGAAACCGAGACAAGGCAUUACUUCAAUUGAAAAUUUAGGUUUUAGUGUAUAGACAGCAUUUUUCCUAGCGUAGGUGAUAAUUAGUAAAAAAAACUGUAAAUAAAAAUGAAUUUUGAUGGAUUUCUUCUCUUGGAUAUUAGCAAAACUAAACAAUAUAUUAUGUAGAUUAGGCAGGAAUCAAAAAAGUAUAUUUAUGUGCUUCUAUUAUAAAAUGAAAUAAGUUCAAAAAUGUAAUAUACAAAUGGUGAUAUGAUAUUAUUGUAUCCGACGAACUUGUGUUGUUUAUUGAUAUUCAUAAUAACUAUUUAUUAGAUACAAAGCAAUCAAACUACAGCUUUCACUUACAAAUACUAGCUUGUAAAAUGUUAAAUCGAAUCAUGUCUCUCACGUACCUAUACCGAUUAAUUAUACACGUAAUUAUAAUUAAGCAUAUACACAUUCAAUUCCAUGAAAUACCCACAAUAAAUAAUAACAUUAUGAAUAUGGAGAUUUAUGUAAUUAAAUGAAUUGUAAUUUAAGUUAAAUAAAUACUCGUUCAUACAACUGUCAGGAACGAAACGAUUUGCAGAUUACGUAGAACAAUGAAAUAUAUAUUCGACUCAGGGAAUAAGUAUUGUGUAUUUAGUGGGUUCAUAUGUAUACAUGUAAUAUAUUAUGCAUUUUCUACCUUCGUAAAGUGAAUACAAGUUAUUACAUUUUCUGCUAAAUUUAGAGUCAAAUACAAUAUACAAGAGUGCGUACGUAUCAUGUGAACUUACAUGAUUAUGUAUCAAUAUAAUGUAUUUCGAAUUCACGUGUUUUCACUAUAGUAAAAUGUACUUUAGCAAUAUUCUCACAAUGCAUCAUUUCUUGUUUCACAUGUAAUAAUACAAUAUUAGAUGACCUACCUAUUAGCUGAUAAAUUUGUGAUAAUUAUCGUAAUCGUGUGUACAUAAAUGUAUUUAAUAAUAAAUGUUUAUUUGUAUUUAGC